rnacentral:lncRNA from 1 species
AAGCUUCGAUCUGUGUGUUGCGGACGAAGAAUUUAUUAUUCCGAGUGAGGUAUAAAUCUCGCAGGUACUGUCUUCAGCAUAAUUCUUUCAAUAAUUUAUUAACUUAGCCACAUCUCCUGUUUUUAAUAGGUGCCAGUUUCCUUUGAAACGCCUCCCUCGUCGAGCAAGCAAGGUGUUGUACAGGUAUAUUUUGAACUAAUAUUAUUAUAUAUUCUUUGUUGUGAGUUGUAUGUUUAUAAUUUAUAUGUAGUUACAAUCGAUCUAGUUGCUUCGUCUGGAAUAUAUUUAAAUAUAUCAGGGAAAUACAAUUUUGAAUUUAAAAUUAUGUCGAGUGUGAAUCAGGUGAGCUACAAUGGUGCUAAGAUAGCAAACAAAGAGAACCAAGAGUGUUGUACACCAUCUAAAACGGUAGGAUCACAAUUAAAUUUUAUACUCAUUUUUUAUAUCAAUAUAAAGCUUUGCAUUUUAAUCAUAAUGUGUGAUUUAUAAAAGCAGCAGGAUAUGGAAAUAGGCUGCGUUCAGCCCUUUGUCCGUUGGACGAGAAUUCAUCUGAACUACCAUCCAAUGUACGUUUAAAUAUAAAAGCUAUAAUUAAAUUCAUAUAAUCAAGUUAAAUAUGAAGUGAUUUAUGUUUUCAUCUCAUUGGAACACGUGUUUUUUUUAAUGAAUAUGAAAGGUCAUAGGAGGAGAAUCACCAAUCUAUGGUUGUGUGAGGAAGGACUUUCCUGUUAGGAAAUUGCAUUACAGAGCAAACAAUAUCGAUAAUGUUGUAUGUUGUAGGACACCACUAAGCAUUAGAGAGAAAGCCAUUGCCAUGUAUUGUCUAUACAGUGAUUUUCUUGCGGAGUACGUGCUUUCACAAUUCAAGUUAUAUUAAGGACAAAUUUGCAGUUGUAUGUUAUAUAUCUAACUUGUUUGUUUAACCUAUUAUUCAGAGGGAAGGUUAUUUUCAUGUUCAAGGACAUAGAGUUAUGUAGAUUCGAUCUA